CGCGAAUGGCUCAUUAUAACAGCUAUAAUUUACUUGAUCUUGACACAAUCCUACUUGGAUAACUGUGGUAAUUCUAGAGCUAAUACAUGCAUUAAAGCUCUGACCUCACGGGAAGAGUGCAUUUAUUAGAACAAAACCAAGCGGCUUCGGCUGUUUCUGGUUGACUCAUAGUAACUGAGCUGAUCGCAUGGUCUUGCACCGGCGACGAGUCUUUCAAGUAUCUGCCGUAUCAACUUUCGAUGGUAGUGUAUCUGACUACCAUGGUGAUCACGCGUAACGGAGAAUAAGGGUUCGGCUCCGGAGAGUUCGCCUGAGAAAUCGCGAACACAUCUAAGGAAGGCAGCAGGCGCGAAAAUUACCCACUCUCAGCACGAGGAGGUAGUGACGAAAAAUAACGAGACCGUUCUCUUAUGAGGCCGGUCAUCGGAAUGGGUACAAUUUAAACCCUUUAACGAGUAUCUAUGGGAGGGCAGGUCUGGUGCCAGCAGCCGCGGUAAUUCCAGCU
rnacentral:rRNA from 1 species